CACGAAUUACUAUUAAAAUACCCUGUGUGAGACACAUAACAUUAAAACUAUACAUUUAACAUAUCCCCAGAUAGCUCAGGGCAUUAUUAAGCGAAUGGCGCUCAGACCACACAAAUACAGUUUAAUCGCCAUGGAGCCAAAGUCUAUACACAGUCAGUUUCAUGCGAAUGAGCUCCAUGGGAUUCCUAUCUGAGGUAUAACACAUUCAAGCAAAACUACCGAACACCGGGCCGUUCGUGCACUUUCACCAAACAAGAAGGGAGGUCGGCGGCUUCAGCGGUGUUCGCUCAAAACUGUGUCCGAUUUCCGUUCCAUGAAUUAAGCAUCGAACACCGCUGUGCAUUCGCAUGUUUAAAAUGGCCGCGACCUCGUGUUCGUAAUACGAAUGGUGGCCACCCAGCAUUCGUCAAUUGAGCUUCAGGGAGGCUAAUUGCCGGCACACUCCAGCUCCCAGGUGGUCCAGUCAUUCGUGCGGAUGUUCGGUAGAUUGAAUCUACCGAACACCUGGCAGAAAAGAACGAAUAAAUAUUUUCUGCAGGUAAAAAAGAGGUCUUUAAACAUGGGGCCAUAGUCUAAAGGCAACAGACGAGCAACCAGGCUUCUCCAAUGCAAUGUGGCGAUAUUGGUCUCGUCACAUCUCUCCCCUUUUCCAAACAGACUAACAGGGUAUCUGACCUCCUGC